CUUAAUUCAUUUUUAUCAAAGACAACAACCAAUAUAACAAACAGUUCCCACUUUUUUGCAUCAGGGAAUAUACAUAGAUGGAAUACCUUCUUUAACAUGAAGUGGUGUCAAUAUGAAAAUUAGAACAGUGAUAAGCUGUCAAAUCCAUAUUAAUUUUUGUUCCAACUUGCAUAGAGACUAUAGAGACAGUACACCGAGAAUAAAAUCUACUCAGUGACUGAGUUGGUCUUACUCAGAAAUCAAAAAAUCCUUUGUUUUCUUACUCAGUUUCCGUUAAAAGUGGGACAACCCAUUGGCACUGGGUUGUCCCAGUUUUAGCCGAAACUGAGUAAGAAAACAAAGGGGCCCCGUACCGUGGGUAGAUCACCUUAUAAUGGUGCGUUACGGUGUAAGAUCUACCAUAACAAAUUCUGAUCUUGUAAUUGUUUAGCUUUGUUAAUUUAAAUGCAGUAAAAUUCCAAAAUCAUAAUUUGUUCGACUUUUUUUUGUAUUAUGUUUUUUAUUGUUAAUAAACCAUUUGUUUCAGGAGGAUUCAGGUAAUUUUUGUCUAUGUAUAGAGUAGAGAGAUUUAUUUCCGUAAAUUAUGUAACUGUUGUGAGCCUAUCACCAUUUAAUACUAUUUUCUAUUUCAGAUGUACAAGCGGGCAACCCUGCAGUAGGGAAGACGAAACACCCUUCUUAUUUUUUGAAACAACCUUAUUAUUCGGUGGUGGGUAGACCACGUUGUCCGCGUCGUUUUUAUUCGAGCCGAGUGUCGUAAUGUCGCGGGUGUGGACGCGUUUUUUUUUUAGAAAAAUUGAUUUUAUUUUUCGGAUCGCCAACCAUGGUUUUAAUCGUUUUACGCGAUCUUGUUUUAUUUUUUUUAGAUAAACUGAGAUAUUUUUUGUUGUUGUGUAACGCGUUUUUUUUGUUUAUUUUAUUUUCUCCAUUUUUUUUUUCCUUGCGUGUUAAACAUUUAUUGCAAAGUGACGAUGACCCUGGAGGGAUCGGUUCUGCUUGUGCCUCGCACUGAGCCGAAACAUACCUAUUUAUACAAUAAAUAGAAAAAAAGUAUCUUUUGAUUUUAUUUUCUUCAGCUCGUUUCCCGUAAUUUUUUUCAAAUAAAUUGAGAUGGUCUUUUUUCGUUGUUUUCGCUUUUUUUUAUGUAAAUUGGGGUUUUUUUUCUCGAAUCGCCAGUUUUUUUUUUCACGCGUUUCAAACAUCUAUUGUAAUGUUUCGAUGACCCUGGAGGGAUCGGUUCUGCUUGAGCCUCUUACUGAGCAGAAACAUAAUUAUUUAAACAAUAAAUAGAAAAAAAUCUCUUUUGAUUGCCGACUUUCAAAAGAUUAAAUUUAAACCAACUAAACAACCAAUGCCGUGAAUCCAUCGCCAGCUUGUCAGGCGAAUCCUUGACCUACAUAAUACAUCUCCCAACCACCCACUCCGUAGUACUUAUGGGAGUGUCACUGAGUCGGAGACCUCUAAAAUAAGUGCUACAUCAACAUUUCCUUCCCCUAUCCCAAGUUACGGUAAAGAUGGGCGUGGCCGGGAAUAAUGACAUUUGUGCUUGUGAUAUUCUUGCAUAAGAUUGGAGCGAAGUUAACUCCCCAGCUUUGUUCCGAAAAGCAAUCCGAGCAAGAUUAGCAAAAGGUACAUGGAUGUUGUUAGUAUCCAAUCUACGAAGUAUACCGUAACUACGCUAACGCUUAACUGAGUAAGAAAACAAAGAAUUUUCGAUUUUUGAGUAAGACCAACUCAGCCACUGGGUAGAAUUUUUUUCUCGGUGUUAUAAAAACACUAUACGCAAAGACACGAAAUGUUCCAAUUGGAAUUCCAAAUCUACUGUCAAUUUCAUACCAAUCAAGCGGCAUUGUUCGGAGGCAUCAUCGUCAUGAUGUGGCAAUCAUCCCCAAGUAACAUUUCUACAAUCGUUCAGCAUUCUUGGUUAUUUAAAACAGUUUUAUUAACACAAUGAGCUUCCUGUUUUGCUUAAACAGAGCAUUUAAGGAUGCUAAUCCAUCACAAUUCAAAACUUUACUUAUGCCGUUUUUGUUUUUCAAUGAUGUUGUUCAAAUCGUUCAAAGGCAUGAAUAAAACGAUCUAGUAGUCCAUAUCAAUUUGAUCAACAUAUAGGACGAUAAAAAAUGACGUCACAUGUUUACCAAUAAUAGCCUGUCUUGUCUUAUUGUAUGCCGUGUAUAUGUUAUGGUAAUCAAAUUGUUCUAAUUUUGGAUAACAUUAGGUUAACUCGCUGGUUCAUCUCAUCCCACCCGUUUCAAUUUGCCUCAGUGUAUCUUAUUUUCAGUGUUGAUAAGAUAGUUCAAGUCAGUAAAUGUCAAAAAAGUCAUUCUCUGCUUCUUAGAAUGUCUUGAAUUGGAACUUAUUAUACAAAAAUUGGUAAUCUUACGAAAGGUGUUUGUAACCGCUAUUUGAAGUUGAGAUGAAUCGGAGGAUUCGCCUUUUUUUUGCUUUGUCACUGUUUCCUGGGCUGUUUCACUGGUCCGCGACUAAUACGUCUUCGCGCGGAGAAAUAAUUGAGAAAAUCGACAGGAAAGUAAGAUAAACGCGAAAAUAUGGCUCAACAUUUUGUGGAGAAUAUCUUUAAAAAAAAUCAUAGGCAGUAGAAAGCUUUUCUAGAGAGCAAGCUUUUUUAGAAAUCUUUGCUAGUUAAUUUCUGUAUGAAGGGAUUGAAUAACAAAACCUAAAAAUCAAUUAAUGAUAUCACCAUAAUUCCUUAACACAAUCAAGACAAAAACUUGUUGAGCUUACGUGAUUUUUUACUUUGUAUGUGUUUUUCAGCAGUUCUUAUGUGACAUUUUUAAAAAUAUACCUAAAAAUUCAAAUUUCAUCGUAAAGUAAAUCGUGAAUAACUCUAAAACGGAUAGAAAAAAACGCCAUGCUAUCUUCGGCAAAGUUUUUCCUCAUAAAAUUUCCUAAGUUGUCGUCAUACAAAAGUUUGUUUCUAAUUACCCUUAGCUAUCAUUUGCAGCGUGAGCCCCCAAGCUUUUUGACUUGGUUCAAUUUUAGGACAACCUACUAUUCAUGCAUGUUUCACCAUAAAUCUCAAGUGGCACUAGAAUGUGGAAUAUUAUACAAUGAAAAAAUUCGGAACAAAAUGUAUGAUCAAACUAAAACGCUGUAUUCCGAUCCAUUUGAUUUUCAUCCAAUUUAACAAGUUGAGACCGAAGCACAUUUGUGAUUGCAAUAAUAUUACGAUUAUUAGUGGAAAGAGCAGGUACCUAGUUAGAAUAACAUGAAACAGGUUACAAUAAAUGCUCUAUUACACAGCGCAACAUUUUUUGUCUCAAGAGCAAACUUAUGUGUCUCUGAUAGAUUUUGAUCCGAAUCCGGGCUCAGAUUUGCUCCAGCACGUCACAAUUUUAAGCCAUACCUCAAUUUAUAGGACAAAAUAUGCGAUUUUGGGCUUUUUUUACUGCAAGCCAUUAAGCAUGGAAAUAUAUUUUUUAAGCAAUCAAAGGAUGAAUUGGUCAAUUAACAUCUAAAUUAACGACUCAUGCAAAAUAUUUUGUUUUAUCAAAUCAAAUUGGAUAGGUUUAAGUAUUUUAUGUCAGUAGGUAAACUUGCAUGCAACUUUUGGAAGGAGACUUGUAUGUUAAAUAUCGUACCCAACAUAAAUCGCAUAAAACUAUUAAAUUCGAUUUGAUAAAACGAAAUAUUUUGCAUGAGUCGUAAUUUAAAUGUUAAUUAACCAAUUUAUCCUUUGAUUGCUCGUUUCCCGUAAUUUUUUUCAAAUAAAUUGAGAUGGUCUUUUUUCGUUGUUUUCGCUUUUUUUUAUGUAAAUUGGGUUUUUUUUUCUCGAAUCGCCAGUUUUUUUUUUCACGCGUUUCAAACAUCUAUUGUAAUGUUUCGAUGACCCUGGAGGGAUCGGUUCUGCUUGAGCCUCUUACUGAGCAGAAACAUAAUUAUUUAAACAAUAAAUAGAAAAAAAUCUCUUUUGAUUGCCGGCUCUCAAAAGAUUAAAUUUAAACCAACUAAACAACCAAUGCCGUGAAUCCAUCGCCAGCUUGUCAGGCGAAUCCUUGACCUACAUAAUACAUCUCCCAACCACCCACUCCGUAGUACUUAUGGGAGUGUCACUGAGUCGGAGACCUCUAAAAUAAGUGCUACAUCAACAUUUCCUUCCCCUAUCCCAAGUUACGGUAAAGAUGGGCGUGGCCGGGAAUAAUGACAUUUGUGCUUGUGAUAUUCUUGCAUAAGAUUGGAGCGAAGUUAACUCCCCAGCUUUGUUCCGAAAAGCAAUCCGAGCAAGAUUAGCAAAAGGUACAUGAAUGUUGUUAGUAUCCAAUCUACGAAGUAUACCGUAACUACGCUAACGCUUAACUGAGUAAGAAAACAAAGAAUUUUCGAUUUUUGAGUAAGACCAACUCAGCCACUGGGUAGAAUUUUUUUCUCGGUGUAAUAAAAACACUAUACGCAAAGACACGAAAUGUUCCAAUUGGAAUUCCAAAUCUACUGUCAAUUUCAUACCAAUCAAGCGGCAUUGUUCGGAGGCAUCAUCGUCAUGAUGUGGCAAUCAUCCCCAAGUAACAUUUCUACAAUCGUUCAGCAUUCUUGGUUAUUUAAAACAGUUUUAUUAACACAAUGAGCUUCCUGUUUUGCUUAAACAGAGCAUUUAAGGAUGCUAAUCCAUCACAAUUCAAAACUUCACUUAUGGUUAUUGCCACAACCUUUCGGAGAUCGAAUAUAAAGCCAGUAUCCAUUGGAAUUCAAAACACAUUUAUUGUGGCUCUCUGUUCUUUUUUAAAACCGAUUCAUUAAACCUCUACGAUAUUGUAUUAUGAAUGUCACGAUAAAAGAUAUCAACAGCAUAUUUGGCAAUUUUAAAAUCCACAUCUUAAUUUAUUGGCUUUAUACAAUAGUGAAUGGCAUGUUUUGAUGCUCUCUGGUGUUGAUAAAUGCAAUUAUAAAUAUGGUGUUGAUGGCUUACGAAAAACAACAAAAAAAGGUGAAUUUAUGCAAUGCGACCGGUGGCCUGACCGGUAAAAAAGCCUGAAACCGCAUUCAAUUUCAACAGCGGCAAUUUUCAGUACAUCUGACCGGGAACGGGCCGCGAGCUAUGAACGUGGUUCUCAACAUUCUAAGAGGCUCGGACGGCGUGCCUGAUCGAGCAAAGUCGAGCCAAUGAGAAGCAGUAGAAGUUAAUAUCCGAGACCCGGAAGUAACACGACCUGUUCCCGAUCCGAUGUAACGAAUGUAGUCUCUCAAUCGUCUCCUUUUAAUAAACUUUGCAGGGGCCAUGGUUCACCGCCCGGCAGCGCUCCUUGUCCAUCA